rnacentral:rRNA from 1 species
CCUACGGGAGGCAGCAGUGGGGAAUUUUGCGCAAUGCUCGUAAGAGUGACGCAGCGACGCCGCGUGAAUGACGAAGGCCUUCGGGUCGUAAAGUUCUUUCGGCAGGGAAGAAAAUGCCUAUAAGUAACUGUGUAUGUAUUGACGGUACCUGUAUAAGCAGCCCCGGCUAACUCCGUGCCAGCAGCCGCGGUAAUACGGAGGGGGCGAGCGUUGUUCGGAGGGACUGGGCGUAAAGAGCACGGAGGCGGGGUUGUAAGUCAUUAGUCAAAGACUAGAGCUCAACUUUAGUAAGGCUAGUGAUACUAUAAUACUAGAGUAUCAGAGAGGAUUGCAGAAUUCCUGGUGUAGCGGUGAAAUGCGUAGAUAUCAGGAGGAAUACCGUUAGCGAAGGCGGCAAUCUGGCUGGAAACUGACGCUGAGGUGCGAAAGCGUGGGUAGCAAACAGGAUUAGAUACCCCUGUAGUC